UACGACGGGGGCUAGCGUUGCUCGGAAUUACUGGGCGUAAAGGGAGCGUAGGCGGAUAGUUUAGUCAGAGGUGAAAGCCCAGGGCUCAACCUUGGAAUUGCCUUUGAUACUGGCUAUCUUGAGUACGGAAGAGGUAUGUGGAACUCCGAGUGUAGAGGUGAAAUUCGUAGAUAUUCGGAAGAACACCAGUGGCGAAGGCGACAUACUGGUCCGUUACUGACGCUGAGGCUCGAAAGCGUGGGGAGCAAACAGG
rnacentral:rRNA from 1 species